UGGGGAAUAUUGGGGCAAUGGGGGCGCAAGCCUGACCCAGCAACGCCGCGUGAGGGAAGAAGUAUUUCGGUAUGUAAAGCUCUAUCAGCAGGGAAGAAAGACCUCGAAAGAGGGGAUGACGGUACCUGAGUAAGAAGCCCCGGCUAACUACGUGCCAGCAGCCGCGGUAAUACGUAGGGGGCGAGCGUUAUCCGGAUUUACUGGGUGUAAAGGGAGCGCAGACGGAAGAGCAAGUCUGAUGUGAAAACCCGGGGCUCAACCCGGGCCUGCAUUGGAAACUGUUUUUCUGGAGUACUGGAAGGGCAGGCGGAAUUCCUGGUGUAGCGGUGAAAUGCUUAGAUAUCAGGAGGAACACCGGUGGCGAAGGCGGCCUGCUGGACAGUAACUAACGUUGAGGCUCGAAAGCGUGGGGAGCAAACAGGAUUAGAUACCCUGGUAGU
rnacentral:rRNA from 1 species